rnacentral:rRNA from 2 species
UGCAGUCGACGACUCUGGUAUUGAUUGGUGCUUGCAUCAUGAUUUACAUUUGAGUGAGUGGCGAACUGGUGAGUAACACGUGGGAAACCUGCCCAGAAGCGGGGGAUAACACCUGGAAACAGAUGCUAAUACCGCAUAACAACUUGGACCGCAUGGUCCGAGUUUGAAAGAUGGCUUCGGCUAUCACUUUUGGAUGGUCCCGCGGCGUAUUAGCUAGAUGGUGGGGUAACGGCUCACCAUGGCAAUGAUACGUAGCCGACCUGAGAGGGUAAUCGGCCACAUUGGGACUGAGACACGGCCCAAACUCCUACGGGAGGCAGCAGUAGGGAAUCUUCCACAAUGGACGAAAGUCUGAUGGAGCAACGCCGCGUGAGUGAAGAAGGGUUUCGGCUCGUAAAACUCUGUUGUUAAAGAAGAACAUAUCUGAGAGUAACUGUUCAGGUAUUGACGGUAUUUAACCAGAAAGCCACGGCUAACUACGUGCCAGCAGCCGCGGUAAUACGUAGGUGGCAAGCGUUGUCCGGAUUUAUUGGGCGUAAAGCGAGCGCAGGCGGUUUUUUAAGUCUGAUGUGAAAGCCUUCGGCUCAACCGAAGAAGUGCAUCGGAAACUGGGAAACUUGAGUGCAGAAGAGGACAGUGGAACUCCAUGUGUAGCGGUGAAAUGCGUAGAUAUAUGGAAGAACACCAGUGGCGAAAGCGGCUGUCUGGUCUGUAACUGACGCUGAGGCUCGAAAGUAUGGGUAGCAAACAGGAUUAGAUACCCUGGUAGUCAUACCGUAACGAUGAUGCUAAGUGUUGGAGGGUUUCCGCCCUUCAGUGCUGCAGCUAACGCAUUA